AUUGAACGCUGGCGGCAUGCCUUACACAUGCAAGUCGAACGGCAGCACGGAGCUUGCUCUGGUGGCGAGUGGCGAACGGGUGAGUAAUAUAUCGGAACGUACCCAAGAGUGGGGGAUAACGUAGCGGAAGUUACGCUAAUACCGCAUACGAUCUAAGGAUGAAAGUGGGGGCUCGCAAGACCUCAUGCUCCUGGAGCGGCCGAUAUCUGAUUAGCUAGUUGGUGAGGUAAAGGCUCACCAAGGCAUCGAUCAGUAGCUGGUCUGAGAGGACGAGCAGCCACACUGGAACUGAGACACGGUCCAGACUCCUACGGGAGGCAGCAGUGGGGAAUUUUGGACAAUGGGGGCAUCCCUGAUCCAGCAAUGCCGCGUGAGUGAAGAAGGCCUUCGGGUUGUAAAGCUCUUUUGUCAGGGAAGAAACGGUGAAGGCUAAUAUCCUUUGCUAAUGACGGUACCUGAAGAAUAAGCACCGGCUAACUACGUGCCAGCCGCCGCAGUAA
rnacentral:rRNA from 1 species